CACUCAAAGAUGAUCCCGCGUUGUAUUAGCUAGUUGGUGAGGUAAAGGCUCACCAAGGCGAUGAUACAUAGCCGACCUGAGAGGGUGAUCGGCCACAUUGGGACUGAGACACGGCCCAAACUCCUACGGGAGGCAGCAGUAGGGAAUCUUCGGCAAUGGACGAAAGUCUGACCGAGCAACGCCGCGUGAGUGAAGAAGGUUUUCGGAUCGUAAAACUCUGUUGGUAGAGAAGAACGUUGGUGAGAGUGGAAAGCUCAUCAAGUGACGGUAACUACCCAGAAAGGGACGGCUAACUACGUGCCAGCAGCCGCGGUAAUACGUAGGUCCCGAGCGUUGUCCGGAUUUAUUGGGCGUAAAGCGAGCGCAGGUGGUUUAUUAAGUCUGGUGUAAAAGGCAGUGGCUCAACCAUUGUAUGCAUUGGAAACUGGUAGACUUGAGUGCAGGAGAGGAGAGUGGAAUUCCAUGUGUAGCGGUGAAAUGCGUAGAUAUAUGGAGGAACACCGGUGGCGAAAGCGGCUCUCUGGCCUGUAACUGACACUGAGGCUCGAAAGCGUGGGGAGCAAACAGGAUUAGAUACCCUGGUAGUCCACGCCGUAAACGAUGAGUGCUAGAUGUAGGGAGCUAUAAGUUCUCUGUAUCGCAGCU
rnacentral:rRNA from 1 species